CCUACGGGGGGCAGCAGUGGGGAAUAUUGGACAAUGGGCGAAAGCCUGAUCCAGCCAUGCCGCGUGUGUGAAGAAGGCCUUCGGGUUGUAAAGCACUUUCAGUGGGGAAGAAAGCCUUGGGGCUAAUACCCUCGAGGAAGGACAUCACCCACAGAAGAAGCACCGGCUAACUCCGUGCCAGCAGCCGCGGUAAUACGGAGGGUGCGAGCGUUAAUCGGAAUUACUGGGCGUAAAGCGCGCGUAGGCGGUCUGAUAAGCCGGUUGUGAAAGCCCCGGGCUCAACCUGGGAACGGCAUCCGGAACUGUCAGGCUAGAGUGCAGGAGAGGAAGGUAGAAUUCCCGGUGUAGCGGUGAAAUGCGUAGAGAUCGGGAGGAAUACCAGUGGCGAAGGCGGCCUUCUGGACUGACACUGACGCUGAGGUGCGAAAGCGUGGGUAGCAAACAGGAUUAGUACCCCUGUAGUC
rnacentral:rRNA from 1 species